AGAGUUUGAUCCUGGCUCAGACGAACGCUGGCGGCGUGCUUAACACAUGCAAGUCGAACGAUGAAGCCUAGCUUGCUAGGUGGAUUAGUGGCGAACGGGUGAGUAAUACGUGAGUGACCUACCUUUGACUCUGGGAUAAGCCUGGGAAACUGGGUCUAAUACCGGAUACGACCAAUCUCCGCAUGGGGUGUUGGUGGAAAGCGUUAUGGAGUGGUUUUAGAUGGGCUCACGGCCUAUCAGCUUGUUGGUGAGGUAAUGGCUUACCAAGGCGACGACGGGUAGCCGGCCUGAGAGGGUGACCGGCCACACUGGGACUGAGACACGGCCCAGACUCCUAC
rnacentral:rRNA from 1 species